ACGCACGCUGGCGGCGUGCUUAACACAUGCAAGUCGAACGGAAAGGCCCUGCUUUUGUGGGGUGCUCGAGUGGCGAACGGGUGAGUAACACGUGAGUAACCUGCCCUUGACUUUGGGAUAACUUCAGGAAACUGGGGCUAAUACCGGAUAGGCGCUCCUGCUGCAUGGUGGGGGUUGGAAAGUUUCGGCGGUUGGGGAUGGACUCGCGGCUUAUCAGCUUGUUGGUGGGGUAGUGGCUUACCAAGGCUUUGACGGGUAGCCGGCCUGAGAGGGUGACCGGCCACAUUGGGACUGAGAUACGGCCCAGACUCCUACGGGAGGCAGCAGUGGGGAAUAUUGCACAAUGGGCGGAAGCCUGAUGCAGCAACGCCGCGUGCGGGAUGACGGCCUUCGGGUUGUAAACCGCUUUCGCCUGUGACGAAGCGUGAGUGACGGUAAUGGGUAAAGAAGCACCGGCUAACUACGUG
rnacentral:rRNA from 1 species